rnacentral:rRNA from 1 species
UGGCUCAGGACGAACGCUGGCGGCGUGCUUAACACAUGCAAGUCGAACGAGGGAUGAAUAAAGCUUGCUUUGUCAUUCGAGUGGCGGACGGGUGAGUAACGCGUGAGGAACCUGGCUUUUGCAGGGGGAUAGCGUCCCGAAAGAGACGGUAAUACCGCAUAAGACCACGCUACCGCAUGGUAAAGGGGUCAAAGGAGAGAUCCGGCAGAAGAUGGACUCGCGUCCCAUUAGGCAGUUGGCGGGUAAAGCCCACCAAACCGACGAUGGGUAGCCGACCUGAGAGGGUGAUCGGCCACAUUGGAACUGAGAGACGGUCCAAACUCCUACGGGAGGCAGCAGUGGGGAAUAUUGGGCAAUGGGCGAAAAAGCCUGACCCAGCAACGCCGCGUGAGGGAAGAAGGUUUUCGGAUUGUAAACCUCUGUCCCAGGAGACGAGGAGAAGACGGUAUCCUGGGAGGAAGCCCCGGCUAACUACGUGCCAGCCGCGGC